rnacentral:rRNA from 1 species
UACGUAGGGUGCAAGCGUUAAUCGGAAUUACUGGGCGUAAAGCGUGCGCAGGCGGUGAUGUAAGACAGAGGUGAAAUCCCCGGGCUCAACCUGGGAACUGCCUUUGUGACUGCAUCGCUGGAGUACGGCAGAGGGGGAUGGAAUUCCGCGUGUAGCAGUGAAAUGCGUAGAUAUGCGGAGGAACACCGAUGGCGAAGGCAAUCCCCUGGGCCUGUACUGACGCUCAUGCACGAAAGCGUGGGGAGCAAACAGG